rnacentral:sRNA from 1 species
CCAGAAACCCGCCAUCUACUACCUACAGAUCUGUCGCGAGUCGGUAGAUUUGUUCUGAGGAGAAAAGCAAUUUUUACCUUCGGGCAUCGGCUGUCGACCGAUCGAGUCUGUCCAAUAAUUGACUGGUGUAAUAAUUGACCCGGAUUAGUAAGUCCCGGGAGCAGUUCAACCGUUACACGAAGAUAUUUAUUUUCAUAUAUAGACAAUCCCAGGUCUCUUUGAGGAUCUCUCUAUUGUAGCCUGGAGAAGCAGUUUGUUUACCCGCAAACUUCAAUCUUGGAUGAAGCCUUGAAGUGUCUCCAUUGUAAUUGCCUACAAAUUACCCAUG